AUUGAACGCUGGAGGCAGGCCUAACACAUGCAAGUCGAACGAGUGGCGGACGGGUGAGUAAUGUCUGGGAACCUGCCCGAUGGAGGGGGAUAACUACUGGAAACGGUAGCUAAUACCGCAUACCAUCGGAUGUGCCCAGAUGGGAUUAGCGAGUAGGUGGGGUAACUGCUCACCUAGGCGACGAUCCCUAGAUGGUCUGAGAGGAUGACCAUCCACACUGGAACUUAGAUACGGUCCAGAAUCCUACGGGAGGAAGCAGUGGGGAAUAUUGCACAAUGGGCGCAAGCCUGAUGCAGCCAUGCCGCGUGUAUGAAGAAGGCCUUCGGGUUGUAAAGUACUUUCAGCGAGGAGGCGUUACUCGCAGCAGAAGCACCUGCUAACUCCGUGCCAGCAGCCGCGGUAAUAC
rnacentral:rRNA from 1 species